CCUGGGUUUCUUGCGAGCUAAACCUUUCAUUUGUAUGACAGUCACUUAAAAUUCCGCGUCAUACGUAACAAAGCAACACAAAAAGGUAUAUUCUGUAUGAUAGUGCCUGACCUAAGUCCGGAACCUGUUAUUAGGUGAUUGUCGUUUAUUGAUGUUUUUUUUAUUUUUUUUCCUUUUUUUUUGUCGACUUGUGUAUGAUUCUUUUGUGAAUUAUGCAAUGCAUGUACAUAAAUGCGGGACGGAAUAUUAUAAAAAUCAUGAAUAGAUGUAGGUAAUUGUGAAUAGAGCCGACUAUCAAGAACACGUCAAAAAUUUGUAAGUAAAACUUUUGUACCUACAAUGUAUGUUUUUUUUUAGAUUACGUUAUACUGGACAAUUCAUGGUCACCGAGUAGACCCUUUUCUAUAUUAAAGCAUAUUCUCUGGAUUAGACUAAAAUAGCUUUCUCACAUUUUGUAGAAAGGUACGAACGACUGUAAUAUGGGCAAUGUUUCGAAAAAGUACUGUGAAAUUUUGCCAUAUUUAGGGCUGCAACUUUUUGAAUUGAGGAAGUAUCUUUUUAAUUAUCUUGUUUGUUUUCGUGUGAGAGAGAGUAUGAAAAUUUUGUCCUGCAUUUUUUUAGUUGUAAUCUUUGUCCUGCCUUUUUAUUUUUCACUCUUUUCGGUCCUGCCUUUUUUUCUUAGUUUAUCCUGACUUUUUUUACAUAAAUUGUCAUCCUGACUUUUUUGUUGCCAAGUUGCUCAUCCUGCCUUUUUUUUUUAACUCAAAACUCC
rnacentral:lncRNA from 1 species